CCUGCCCAGUGACCACAAGUUUCAACGGCCGCGGUAUUUUGACCGUGCAAAGGUAGCGCAAUCACUUGUCUUUUAAAUAGAGACCUGUAUGAAUGGCUAAACGAGGGAUUAACUGUCUCCCCUUUCAAGUCAGUGAAAUUGAUCUACCCGUGCAGAAGCGGGUAUAAUAAUACAAGACGAGAAGACCCUUUGGAGCUUAAGGUACAAAACUCAGCCACGUCAAGCAACUUAAUAAAAAGCAAAAACCUUGUGGAAUAUGAUAUUUUACCUUCGGUUGGGGCGACCACGGAGGAAAGAAAAGCCUCCAAGUGGACUGGGAGAACUUCCUAAAGCCAAGAGAGACAUCUCUAAGCCGCAGAACAUCUGACCAAACAUGAUCCGGCAACAAAGCCGAUCAACGAACCAAGUUACC
rnacentral:rRNA from 1 species